CCAAAGGCUCUUUUAAGAGCCACCCACUUACUCUACGAGAGAGCUG
rfam:Alligator sinensis unplaced genomic scaffold scaffold647_2, whole genome shotgun sequence